rnacentral:rRNA from 1 species
AUUGAACGCUGGCGGAAUGCUUUACACAUGCAAGUCGAACGAGACCUUCGGGUCUAGUGGCGCACGGGUGCGUAACGCGUGGGAAUCUGCCCUUAGGUACGGAAUAACUCAGAGAAAUUUGUGCUAAUACCGUAUGAUGUCGAAAGACCAAAGAUUUAUCGCCUAAGGAUGAGCCCGCGUAAGAUUAGCUUGUUGGUGAGGUAAAAGCUCACCAAGGCGACGAUCUUUAGCUGGUCUGAGAGGAUGAUCAGCCACACUGGGACUGAGACACGGCCCAGACUCCUACGGGAGGCAGCAGUGGGGAAUAUUGGACAAUGGGCGAAAGCCUGAUCCAGCAAUGCCGCGUGAGUGAUGAAGGCCUUCGGGUUGUAAAGCUCUUUUACCAGGGAUGAUAAUGACAGUACCUGGAGAAUAAGCUCCGGCUAACUCCGUGCCAGCAGCCGCAGUAA